rnacentral:rRNA from 1 species
AGAGUUUGAUCCUGGCUCAGGAUGAAUGCUGGCGAUGUGGAUAAGUCAUGCAAGUCGAACGGUCCGCAAGGACAGUGGCAGACGAGGUAGUAACACGUAGGUACACCCCCCGAAGUCGGGCAUAGCCAGCCGAAAGGUUGGGUAAUUCCCGAUAGUCGCGUAAGCGUAAAGAUUUAUCGCUUCGGGAGUGGCCUGCGUAAUAUCAGCUAGUUGGUAAGGUAACGGCUUACCAAGGCUACGACGUUUAGGGGAGCUGAGAGGCUGACCCCCACCGAUGGGACUGCGAUACGGCCCAUACUCCUACGGGAGGCUGCAGACGAGAAUAUUCCGCAAUGGACGCAAGUCUGACGGAGCGACAUCGCGUGAUGGAUGAAGUGCUUCGGUACGUAAACAUCUUUUAUGGGGGACGAAGUCAUUGACGGUACCCCAUGAAUAAGGGGCUGCUAACUCUGUGCCAGCAGCAGCGGUAAUACAGAGGCCCCAAGCAUUAUCCGGAAUCACUGGGCGUAAAGGGUGUCCAGGCGGCCCUGUUAGUCUCUUGUAAAAUCCGUGGGCUCAACCUACGGUCCGCAAGGGAAACGGCAGGGCUCGAGGGCGCGAGAGGUACAGGGAACUCAUGGUGGAGGGGUGAAAUCCGUUGAUAUCAUGGGGAACACCAAAGGCGAAGGCACUGUACUGGCGCGUUCCUGACGCUCACACACGAAAGCCAGGGUAGCGAACGGGAUUAGAUACCCCCGUAGUCC